CUCGGGGUUGGGGGUGUUCCUCAGCCUGGAUUGCGAGAGAGCACAGGCCAGGCUGAGGGACCCCACUGGUGUGUG
rnacentral:pre_miRNA from 1 species